CUAACACAUGCAAGUCAAGGGGAACGGGCCUUUCGGGGCCUUAUUACACUGGCGGACGGGUGAGUAACGCGUAGGUUACCUGCCCCCAUCACCGGCAUAACUUCGGGAAACCGGCGCUAAUACCGGAUGAGGCCUUCGGGUCAAAGCUUCGGCGGAUGGGGAUGGGCCUGCGUCUGAUUAGUUAGUUGGCGGGGUAACGGCCCACCAAGGCGACGAUCAGUAACUGGUCUGAGAGGACGAUCAGUCACACUGGAACUGAGACACGGUCCAGACUCCUACGGGAGGCAGCAGUGAGGAAUUUUGGUCAAUGGGGGAAACCCUGAACCAGCGACGCCGCGUGCGGGAUGACGGGGUUUUGCCCUGUAAACCGCUGUCGGGGGGGAAGAAAAGCCUAUUUUGUAGGCCGGGACAGUACCCCCAAAGGAAGGACCGGCUAACUAC
rnacentral:rRNA from 1 species